AAGAGAGGGUGAAAAGGGAACGCGAUAGUCGAACGACGUCAUUAAAACCGCAAAUGCAUUCUGAGAAAUCCGCCUU
rnacentral:sRNA from 11 species